UACCAAGGCGACGACGGGUAGCCGGCCUGAGAGGGUGUCCGGCCACACUGGGACUGAGAUACGGCCCAGACUCCUACGGGAGGCAGCAGUGGGGAAUAUUGCACAAUGGGCGCAAGCCUGAUGCAGCGACGCCGCGUGGGGGAUGACGGCCUUCGGGUUGUAAACCUCUUUCAGUACCGACGAAGCGCAAGUGACGGUAGGUACAGAAGAAGCACCGGCCAACUACGUGCCAGCAGCCGCGGUAAUACGUAGGGUGCGAGCGUUGUCCGGAAUUACUGGGCGUAAAGAGCUCGUAGGUGGUUUGUCGCGUUGUCCGUGAAAACUCACAGCUUAACUGUGGGCGUGCGGGCGAUACGGGCAGACUGGAGUACUGCAGGGGAGACUGGAAUUCCUGGUGUAGCGGUGGAAUGCGCAGAUAUCAGGAGGAACACCGGUGGCGAAGGCGGGUCUCUGGGCAGUAACUGACGCUGAGGAGCGAAAGCGUGGGGAGCGAACAGGAUUAGAUACCCUGGUAGUCCACGCCGUAAACGGUGGGUACUAGGUGUGGGUUUCCUUCCUUGGGAUCCGUGCCGUAGCUAACGCAUUAAGUACCCCGCCUGGGGAGUACGGCCGCAAGGCUAAAACUCAAAGGAAUUGACGGGGGCCCGCACAAGCGGCGGAGCAUGUGGAUUAAUUCGAUGCAACGCGAAGAACCUUACCUGGGUUUGACAUGCACAG
rnacentral:rRNA from 1 species